rnacentral:rRNA from 1 species
GGGCCCGCACAAGCGGUGGAGCAUGUGGUUUAAUUCGAUGCAACGCGAAGAACCUUACCUGGUCUUGACAUACACAGAAUCUUGUAGAGAUACGAGAGUGCCUUCGGGAAUUGUGAUACAGGUGCUGCAUGGCUGUCGUCAGCUCGUGUCGUGAGAUGUUGGGUUAAGUCCUAUAACGAGCGCAACCCCUGUCGUUAGUUGCCAGCGAGUCAUGUCGGGAACUCUAACGAGACUGCCGGUGCAAACCGAGAGGAAGGUGGGGAUGACGUCAAAUCAUCACGGCCCUUACGUCCUGGGCCACACACGUGCUACAAUGGCCGGUACAGAGAGCAGCCACUACGCGAGUAGGAGCGAAUCUAUAAAACCGGUCUCAGUUCGGAUCGCAGUCUGCAACUCGACUGCGUGAAGCUGGAAUCGCUAGUAAUCG